rnacentral:rRNA from 1 species
CACCUUAAAACUAGCCCCACAACUAAAAGCAAAAAUAAAUAUUAAUAAACCCUAAGAUAUUACAUCUAUAAAUUAAAACAUUCUACCGCCUAAGUAUGGGAGAUAGAAAAGGAAAAAGGAGCUAUAAAAGAAGUACCGCAAGGGAAUGAUGAAAGAGAAUAUGAAACAGUUUAACAAGUCAAUAGAAGCAGAGAUUAAACCUCGUACCUUUUGCAUCAUGAUUUAGCAAGCAUAAAUCAAGCAAAGAGCACUUAAGUUUGAAACCCCGAAACUAAGUGAGCUACUUCAAGUCAGCCAAACAUCUGGGCUAACCCGUAUCUGUGGCAAAAGAUUGGGAAGAACUUUAAGUAGAGGUGAUAAACCUACCGAACUUAGUUAUAGCUGGUUGCCUGAGAAAUGGAUAGAAGUUCAGCCUAAUUACUUCCCCCAUCACUUAUGAUAACUCACUCAAGAAUACUGUAAGUAAUUAGAGUUAGUCAAAAGAGGUACAGCUCAUUUGACGAAAGAUACAACUUUAAUAAAGUAGGUUAAAGAUCAAAUUAAUUAAGAUAACAUACCCUAGUGGGCCUAAAAGCAGCCAUCUGAAUAGAAAGCGUUAAAGCUCAAGCACCAAACAAUCAUAUAUACUGAUAUACUCUCUAAAACCCCUCUAAAUAACAGGCCAUUCCACCACACAUGGAAAUGAUAAUGCUAAAAUUAGUAAUAAGAGAAAUGAAAAUCUCUCCGCACACAAGUGUAACUCGGAACGAACCCACACCGAAAAUUAACGACCCCAAAACCCAGAGGGAAUUGCUAAAAAAUAAGUAAAACAAGAAGAAUCACCUACCAAUCAUCGUUAAACCCACACUGGAGUGUUACCCCGGAAAGACUAAAAGGAAAAGAAGGAACUCGGCAAAUAUUUACUAUGCCCCGCCUGUUUACCAAAAACACCGCCUCUUGAAAUUAUAACAUAAGAGGUCCCGCCUGCCCUGUGACCAUGUGUUUAACGGCCGCGGUAUUUUGACCGUGCGAAGGUAGCGCAAUCACUUGUCUUUUAAAUAAAGACCUGUAUGAAUGGCACGACGAGGGCUUAACUGUCUCCUUUUCCUAGUCAAUGAAAUUGAUCCCCCCGUGCAGAAGCGGGGAUGAAGUAAUAAGACGAGAAGACCCUGUGGAGCUUUAGAUAAUACCGACCUUAUGUUAAAGCCCUUACAGAUGAGGGACAAACAAUUAAUAAAUUCUGUAAAUAUCUUUGGUUGGGGCGACCGCGGGGUAAAAUAUAACCCCCGUGAGGACUGGGGUAAACCCAAAACCAAGAACACCAGUUCUAAGUAGCAAAAAUUUUGACCUUUAGAUCCGGCAUUGCCGAUCAACGAACCUAGUUACCCCAGGGAUAACAGCGCAAUCCCCUUCAAGAGUCCCUAUCGAUAAGGGGGUUUACGACCUCGAUGUUGGAUCAGGACAUCCUAAUGGUGCAGCCGCUAUUAAGGGUUCGUUUGUUCAACGAUUAAAGUCCUACGUGAUCUGAGUUCAGACCGGAGUAAUCCAGGUCAGUUUCUAUCUAUUAUAUGUUCUUCUUUAGUACGAAAGGACCAAGAAGAAAAGGCCUAUGUUAUAAAUAAGCCUUCCUUUUAUCCGAUGAAGCCAUCUAAAAAGGGUAAUAAAGCAUAAUGAUAAAAUUGAAGAUAACAACAUAUAGGAGAAGUAUAAAUACAAAUAUAUUACAUUUUUAAGGGAUUAAUUUUCCCUCCUAUAACAUAAUUCUACAGAAGAAAUUUAUACUUUACCCCAACUUUUAUGGGGUAAAGUAUGUACUAUUUUAUGGUGGCAGACAUCGGACAACAAACCCAUAGAAAUGUCCCUCAGUACCCCAAUGAUCGUGAAAGUAUCAACAUGCAACUUAUAGCCAUAUCACC